rnacentral:rRNA from 1 species
CCUACGGGUGGCAGCAGUAGGGAAUUUUGCGCAAUGGGGGAAACCCUGACGCAGCAACGCCGCGUGAUCGAUGAAGCCCUUCGGGGUGUAAAGAUCUGUCAGUGGGGACGAAACCUGACGGUACCCACAGAGGAAGCACCGGCUAACUCCGUGCCAGCAGCCGCGGUAAUACGGAGGAUGCGAGCGUUAUCCGGAUUUAUUGGGUUUAAAGGGUGCGCAGGCGGAAGAUCAAGUCAGCGGUAAAAUUGAGAGGCUCAACCUCUUCGAGCCGUUGAAACUGGUUUUCUUGAGUGAGUGAGAAGUAUGCGGAAUGCGUGGUGUAGCGGUGAAAUGCAUAGAUAUCACGCAGAACUCCGAUUGCGAAGGCAGCAUACCGGCGCUCAACUGACGCUCAUGCACGAAAGUGUGGGUAUCGAACAGGAUUAGAUACCCCUGUAGUC